GCUGCAGCAGGUGCUGUGAGGGUAGAAGUAAGGAUCCAUCGCAGAGUUUCUGAUGGAGAAAGGGGAGGCUGCCUUGGGGUGAGGCUGUGAGGGUGGCUGCUCAGUCCAGGGGCAUGGUCAUGGCUGAUGUCUGCUGCAGUCCUGAGUGACUGCAGUGCUUUAGAUAGACCUCUGGGGCUGAGCUGUGAUGGGGCCCUGGAGCAGCCCAGGACUGGCAGAAUCUAGCGAUGGUUUAAAUCCACAGUACACCCACCCUUCUGUCUACCAGAGUGUAAAUUCACUGCUGUUUUCUAAUACAAUCACAGGGCUUUGUGGCGAAGACUUCUCAUAGAUAGAGGAGAUCAGAUUCUCAAAGGUAAAUUAUUUAGCAUAUGUCCAGUAAAUCCCAUCAGCCUGAUCCCCAUGCCUUACCCCUUCUUAUUCAGUCUCACCCCCAGAACCACCAGUUUGAUCCAGUCCCACGUCUUAGCACAGAAUCAGCUGUACUGAGCUGUUCUUGGGAGCUGUUUUGCCUAACUUGCUCUUGAGCAAACUUCCAGUGGUUAUUCCUGAAACUGCCAAAGAGACUGACCCUGUUGCUUCACAGUUGUUGCUAUGCCAGAAAAUAUCCCUCUCCAGGAAAGUUUUUUGUAUUUGUUAAUGUUUUAUCUAUGACUUGUUUGCUUCAAUAUUACUUUUGGUCAAAGGGGAGGUAGUCCAGUAGGGUGGUCUUUAGGACGAGUUUAGUAGCAUCAGCAGAAUAAGUUUUCAUACAGAGAAGUCUAAUUUCUCAUUCUGGAUCAUCGCUCAAGAUAUUACAGGAAUACAUGUCAAGCAGCUACUAAAGCUGACUCACAAUUCCAACCUGUUGUGCGAUUUUAUUAAAUGUGAUUGAUGCAGAUACUUCUGCAGGGGAGCCAGGUCCCGCCUGGGAUUUCCAGGCAACGAGAGAGGAGUCAUCUGAAGCUGCAAGCCAACCAUUUGGGAAUGGUAUUGCUUUCUCUCAUAACUUUGACAGGAGUGAGAUGGAGAGCAGGGAGACGCGUUCUCUGAAGUCGUGGUGGAGAUGUGCCUUUUUGCCCUGCCAAACUUCUCCUUGGACGGCCUCUUGCUCAAGUGAGCUCUUCUGGCAGCAUCUUUUACUUGCUUGUCUAUCCAUUCCUGUGCUGUCCACGAUAGCAGAUAUUAACUAGUAGGAAACCUAAAGGCAGAUGGGAAAGGCAGCAGUGAGGAGAGCUUCAGAAGGGCAGCUGGAGAUAAGCCUCCUAAAUCUAGGAAUGGGAAACUUAUAGUCCUCGAAGCAGAGUCCCACUGGAUGUGGGUAAGCAGUAGGUCACCCUUUUGUCACCUUUAGAUUUGAUUUACACUCUGCUUGCAGAACUGCAUCUUUCCAACUGAACGCUUUCCUUCAGAAAUAAGGAUGUAAUUUCGCAGCUCCAUCUGGAGUUUAUUACUCAUGUUACUUACACUUCCUUGACUCUUGAUAAGAAAAAUGAUCGUUGUGCUGUAAAUUUUCAAAACAUUUUUCAGGGCUGGCUUCCA
rnacentral:lncRNA from 1 species